AGAGUUUGAUCAUGGCUCAGGGAGGAACGCUGGGCGGCGUGCCUAAUACAUGCAAGUCGAACGAGAAUUUCUUACACCGAGUGCUUGCGCUCACCGUAGGAAAUUCGAGUGGCGGACGGGGUGAGUAACACGUGGGUAACCUGCCCAAAAGAAGGGGAUAACAUUUGGAAACAAAUGCUAAUACCGUAUAACCAUGAUGACCGCAUGGUCAUUAUGUAAAAGGUGGUUUUGCUAUCGCUUUUGGAUGGACCCGCGGCGUAUUAACUAGUUGGUAGGGUAACGGCCUACCAAGGUGAUGAUACGUAGCCGAGUUGAGAGACUGAUCGGCCACAAUGGGAGUGAGACACGGCCCAUACUCCUACGGGAGGCAGCAGUAGGGAAUCUUCCACAAUGGGCGCAAGCCUGAUGGAGCAACGCCGCGUGAAUGAAGAAGGUCUUCGGAUCGUAAAAUUCUGUUGUUAGAGAAGGAUAUGAGUAAUAGUAACUGAUUAUUCACUGACGGUAUCUAACCAGCAAGUCACGGCUAACUACGUGCCAGCAGCCGCGGUAAUACGUAGGUGGCAAGCGUUGUCCGG
rnacentral:rRNA from 1 species